CACGUAGGGGGCAAGCGUUGUCCGGAUUUAUUGGGCGUAAAGAGCUCGUAGGCGGUUCGAUAAGUCGGGUGUGAAACCUCCAGGCUCAACCUGGAGACGCCACCCGAUACUGUCGUGACUAGAGUCCAGUAGGGGAGCGUGGAAUUCCUGGUGUAGCGGUGAAAUGCGCAGAUAUCAGGAAGAACACCGGUGGCGAAGGCGGCUCUCUGGGCCUUACCUGACGCUGAGGAGCGAAAGCGUGGGUAGCGAACAGG
rnacentral:rRNA from 1 species